rnacentral:RNase_P_RNA from 1 species
UGAGCCGGUCAGGCGGCCGCGUCAGGACCGUCCCGCGAGGGGCGGGCCUGCCGAGGAACGUCCGGGCUCCACAGGGCGAGGUGGUGGCCAACAGCCACCCGGAGUGAUCCGCGGGACAGUGCCACAGAGAACAGACCGCCUCCGGACCGCGAGGUCCGGCGGUAAGGGUGAAACGGUGGUGUAAGAGACCACCAGCGCCCCCGGUGACGGGGGCGGCUCGGUAAACCCCACCUGGAGCAAGUCCAGACAGCAGGCGUUCGAGGGCGGCCCGCCCGAGCCUGCGGGUAGGACGCUGGAACCGGUCAGCGAUGGCCGGUCGAGAUGGAUGGUCGCCACCGCGCUCCCGGCGACGGGACGCGGGACAGAACCCGGCGUACCGACCGGCUCAUCCC